UUUGAACACAUUGUCAAUGAGCAAUUAUGGGUGUUUUUUUUCUCUCACUAGUUUAGGAAUUUUAUUUCAUUUUAGCUUGGUUGAUUGUUGAACAGGUGUCUGUUGCACAAUGACAUAUUCUUCAACGUAGUAUAAAAUAUGAUGGUCAAACUGCUUUUGUUCUUUUACAUUUGACUGUUACUUGUUCCUACAGAAUCGUGACGGUGUUCCAUCAGCGAAAGACUCUGGAUUCACAGGUGAGAAACAUCCCCUGCUGAUAUGUCUAGUUGCAACAUUGUAACAUUGUUGAAACAUACUUUCUCAUUUUAGGGUCAAGGCUCACAAGUAUAGUUUUUAUGACAAAUUCAGAUGUUCUAUUGAUUUGUGUUAAAGAUUUGACAUGUUUCACUUCUUUCAGCCAUUGCUGAUACAGAGAAUGAGGAGAAUGAGGUAUGAUUGUCCACACUGUCCACUGUAUACCUAGUUAUGCCUCAACUAGUCAUUAUUGAGACAAGAUUGAACUUAAAGUUGUGUUUGUUUGUAGCAGUUUGUUAUAAAAUUAUAAAUUAAAUCAAUUUAAGCAAUUUUGCUUUUCUGACAUUGUUUUCCAGAACUCAGACAUCUCCAGUGACAGUAGCUCAAUAAUUGUUGAGCACGCUUCAAACAAUGAGAUUGUGGACUUAUCUGUACCUGCACUCGUCAGAACAGACAAUGUUAUUGUUAAUGAGAAAAGGUAUGGAUAUGCAGAUGAAGAGGAGGAAUCCCUUUCCAGCUCGGAUUUCACUGAGGAGGAAUAUUUCCUCAGUUACACGUCAUCUGAAGAAACAGAUGGCUCUUCUGCAAAAGUCCCCCAUGGCAAGGAGAAAAUAGCUACAGACAGUGAGCUAUCUGAUUCUGAUGAUGAAAUGACUUUGAAUUCCACAAAUGUGCAACUGCCCUCAGCUGUGUCCUUAUCCCCAUCAGCACCACCUUCAGAAUUGAAGACAAUCUCCAGCAUUGACCUGGGACAAAAUGAUGCUCAUCCAUCAAGAGGUAAAAACAUUCUAGAUAAGACAAGAUAAUCAACAUAAAAGGAUUAUUGUGCCUUUUGUCCUGCUCGUGUGUUGCUCUCAUUCUGUUAUGUUAAUGCAGCAGCACACUAGAGUGGUGCUCUUUGCCCUGCCCCCCACCAUAAACAUUAGUUUUCAUUUUCAGCACGUUUUAAGAUAGAGGAGGGAGCAGCAGUUUAAGUUGAACAUAAACUAUUACUAUCUAUGUUUGUUAAGAUUUGCAGUUGUUUGUUCAGAAUACACUUUUUUGAUAUUUAAGUUAUU